AAAAAGGUUUUGACAGCCAGUUUUGGUCCUAUAUACCAGAAAAGAUUUACCUACAUUGGCAACAGAAAAAUGUCUUUUCUGGAGCCAUAGCAGAAAAAUGUUGGGAAAUGGCCUAAAUUCAGGAUGACCUUUUUUUUUUAAAAAGAUCUUAUUAAUUUAUUAUAUCUGGUGAUUUGAAGACAGAAUGGUACUUUAAUAUCAUUAUAACCUAAACUUGCUACUGUAGAGGUUGAAAAACAUUCAAAGUAAGUAUCUUUAUACAUUUGUAGCAUGAUAAAAGAUUGAAGUUAAAAGACAUCACAGUGGGUUAAGGGUCCAGUGUUCCAUGAGCUGUGGCAUAGGUCUUAGACGUGGCUUGGAUCUAAUGUUGCUGUGGCUAUGGUGUGGGCUGGAAGCUGUAGCUCCAACUGCACCCCUAGCCUGGGAACUUCCAUAUGCCACAGUUACUGCCCUAAAAAGCAGAAUAAAUAAAUAAAUAAAUAAAUAAAUAAAAGCUCUAGGGAUAUAAAGUUCAUUAUGUAGGGUCCAGAGAUCAAAUGUAAUUUGUUCCAGUUACAUUUAAUUAGUCCCAAUAAGUCUCCAAGCUGGGUCUCCACAGAGAGAACCAUUGUAUUAUUCUUCAGAAACAUCUUUUUAACUAUAGACAUAUAGGUACAAUGUGUUUGGCUGUCAAUAUUAGAAUUAAACUAAAUUUGUCCAAUUAAAAUUUGGAGAAAAGCAAAGACUACAUAUUAAAGUCUCCCAGUGUUUUUCCUGUGACUUACUUUGGUUAUGGGUAGAGGCUAUGAAUCAAGACAAGGACGGCAUGAUUAUAUUAACAAUAGAAAUAAGUGUAUUAGGACAAUCUGAGAGGUGGAGGAGUAAAAGGAUAUAACUUCUGUGGAAGAUUUCCAAAAACUUGCAAAGUCUAAAAAAAGACUUAAGAUUUCGGAAAGAAGCAGAAAACUUUUUGUCAAAGGGAAAAGAUGAUUCUGUUAUGGGCAAGAACAAAAUGCACUCAUUGGAGAAUUUUAAAAGGGGCUGUCAUCCUGUCAGAAAUAGGAUGUGAAGAAAGGCUUUACAAUGACAAAUUUAGAAAUACUUAAAUAUCAUAUUUUGGCCAACCAACCACAUUUAUGUCUAAAUGUGUGGGAGGAUGUGCUCAUGAACACAAGCAAAUCAGAGAAGAUUAUGUAUAAUUGAUAAUAAUAACUGAGCAUGAAAUGUAGAGACAGGCUGAACUUGACAGAGUAUAUUCAGGGCCCUUAAGACAUUUAAUUCAAUAGGAAAUAACUUAGAAUUCACAUUUUAUAUCUUUAAAUAUAGCGAUUCAUUUAACUUUUAUUUUUGGAUUUGCUUUUUUUUUUUGGUUUUUAGGAAUGCACCCGUGGCAUAUGGAAAUUCCCAGGCUAGGGGUCUAAUCGGGGCUGUAGCUACCAGCCUACACCACAGCAAUGCGGGAUCUGAGCUGUGUCUGCGACCCACACCACAGCUCAUGGCAGCACUGGAUCCUUAACCCACUGAGUGAGGGCAGGGAUCAAACUUGCAUCCUCAUGGAUACUAGUCAGGUUCAUAACCCCCUCCGCCACAAUGGGAACUCCCUUUAUUUUCAUUUUUAAAUGAAUAUUUUAUAGAAGUAGUAGUUUUCGAUUGACUAAAUUGAUUGUAAUGGCUAUUUUGUCAUUAUUUUGGUAAAUAGUGAUUCUUUCUGGUCAUGGGAUAUCACUCAGUAAAAUAAGAUUCUAAUUACUAUACCACCCCUGAAUGUUGGGGGAAAAGUAGCCCAAAUUUUAGUAAUGUGUUAAGGACUUAUUUUAUUUGUGGUACAAGUUGAAGUAUGUAUUCCCUGUAUACCUAGAACUUCUGAAUCUCUUUAGAAAAGUCUGGGUCAGAUUUUAUAUAAUCCAGUAAUUAGUGUUUGUUUUUUGUGUGUAAAUAAAUACAUAUGUCUUUGCAUCUAUAACAGGGAUUUGAUUAUUCAUAUUGUAUUUCUGGAAGUAAAAAUCUCAUUGUACCUGAUCUAGCAGUCUUGAAUGUUCUACAAGCAUCCAUGAAACUCACUCAGGCUAACUGGUUAGCUCGAAAUAGGUAAAAGUCUCAGGUUCUUCACAGUUCUUGACACGAGUUUUCCAGUUCCAUUUCUUACUGCUCCCUGUAUUCCUGUCUACAUGACACUUAAGAUGCAUUACUCACCCUUCCCAAAUAUAACUUGCAGUUCUCUAUCUUAAUUUCUAGAUUGUGCUUCCGUAAGUUUCCCCUCUGGAACAUUUUAUCCACAUCCUUUUUGAAAUAUUUUUCUGCUUAAGUCACUCAUCAAACAAAACUUCUGUCUUUUUUAAUAUUUCAUUUAUAUUAGGUUAAUACAAUGUCUCCUUUAUGUUGCAUUAAGAUCAGCUUUGUAUAUUAUUCAAUAUGUGAUGCUUAUUGUGGAGAAUUUAUUCUUUUGUUCCAAGUAUGCAGCAAAGUUUUCAAUCAACAUCUCAAUCAACACAAUAUUUCAAGGGUUCAUUUAGGUUUUCUUUUAGAAGAUUCUUUAAGUAAUUAUUUAAAGGGAAACUAUGACCAAAACUAGGGUAGGAGUCCAUAGCUUUCAUUUCCUUCUUAGCAUAGGAAAUGUUUUAACAAUAGACUAAGACUGAAAGGGAAAUAAAUGCCAGCAAUCAAACCACAAUCCCAGAACAGCAGGUGGUUUGAAUACAUGGUUUGAAUGAACAGGCAUCCUACAUUGCUCUGACAUAGAUUUAAGAGUUGCCUCUGGGAAAAGAGGCAAGUCAAAACAAGAACGAAGAUACUCACCCAGGGAUGUAUGUGGAAGACAAAGACAUCAAUAGAGCCAACCCUUUUCAAACCAAUGACAAGCAUUGAGUGCUGGAUCUUUUGUUGAAUUACUAAUGAUUCUGCUGAUACUGACUCUUUAUUUAGAUCUUUGAUGGGUGCAUUAUAUAUUCUCUUAUAACAGACUUGUUAAGUGGACUUGAACAUUGAGAAGCUCUUGGCCUAGAGAUGCUAUUUUAAAUGUCCAGGCAAAGUUUGGGGUUAGGAGAUGCAAACUAUUACAUUUAGAAUGAAUAAGCAAUGAGGUCUUACUCUAUAGCACAGGGAGCUAUAUCCAGUCUCUUGGGAUAGAACAUAAUGGAAGAUAAUCUGAGAAAAACAAUGCAUAUGUAUGACUGGGUCAUUUUGCUGUACAGCAGAAAUUGGCAGAACAUUGCAAAUCAACUAACUUCAAUUUAAAAAAAUUAGAAAAACAAUAUUAAAAAUAAAUUGCCCAGACAUCUCAUGAAUCAACUCAAAAAUGAAUCCAUUAUCAACUUUAAAAUAGUAUAUAUAUUACAUCUUCAAAAAAGGAACAGAAAAUUUUAGAGAUUUCACCAUUUUGCUUAAAUUCUGUUAAUUUCAUUCUUUCUAUAAACAUUUAUUGAGCUUUCAGAGAGUGUGCCAUAUGUUUUCUAUUGCAACUAUAACAAACUACCACAGACUUAUUGACAUAAAAUAACACACAUUUAUCCGUCAUUGUUCUUAAAGUCAGAAGUCCACGUGAGCUCAGUUGGGUUCUCUGCUUAGAGUCUCAUAGUUGGGUUCUCUGCUUAGAGUCUCAAGAAUCAACCAGAUUGAGCUCUUACCUAUAGGUUAUGGGAAAAAAUCCACUUCCCAUAUUCCUUUAGUUUAUUGGCAGAUUGGCCGGAAUCCUUUCAUGCUUUGAAUUUCAAUGACUCUCUUUUACUAUAAACCACAGAAAAUGUAUGCUCCUGGGAUUCAAAUGGAACCAUAUGGAUAAUGUCUCGUUUGAGUUACCUGAGGUCAACAGGUUAUUGACCUUACAUCUGUAAAAAUUCCUUUUAUCAUACACCCAUCCUCUAGGGCUAUACAAGUGUUAUUGGGGGUCAUUUUUAAAACUGAGCCUACCACGUAUGCGAAGUGCUGAAAUUAAAUGAUGAGAAAACAGACUCCGUUUCUACUUCUACAAACUUUAAACUUGAACGAAGGGGACAUCCAGUAGAGGAUGAGCUGUGUAAGGAGCAUGGUGUACAUAUGUGUGUAAAUGGAACAACCAAAAUAAUCUUGUAGGCCUGUGCCCUGGAGGAAAUAGCAAGAUUUAUUCACAUUGAGGUCAUUGUAGGAUAGAACGAUGCUCAAAGCAAAGGCAAUAAUGUAACACUGUGUGUCUUGAAAGAAGUUCAAGUUAUGCAUGGAUAACCUAGUUUUCAAUGUUUGCAGAGGAGAGGGUGGUUGAGGGAUGGCUAGAAUUAGAGGGUAACAAAGAGAAAAUGAUUCAGGCUUUUAAUCAAGGUUGCUACCUCCUCAAAUGUGUGUUUUAGAAAUGUCAUCCUGACUGUAGUAUUCAGAACAGCUCUGAGAGAUACAACAUUUGAGAGAAUGAGAUCAUUAUAAGAUCAUAAAACAUAAUCUGCGGAGUUCCCGUCAUGGCGCAAUGGAAAGGAAUCUGACUAGGAACUGUGAGGUUGCAGGUUUGAUCCCUGGCCUCACUCAGUGGUUUAAGGAUCUAGCAUUGCCCUGAGCUGUAGUGUAGGUCUCAGUUGCGGCUCGGAUUCCACAUGGCUGUGGCAGUGGCCCAGGCCGGCAGCCAUAGCUCUGAUUGGACCCCUAGCCUGGGACCCUCCAUAUGCUGUGAGUGCAGCCCUAAAAAAAGACAAAAAGACAACAAAAGCAAACAAAACAUAAUCUGAGUGGGAGGUGGUGAUUACUGGGACUAUGGUAGUGACAUUGACAUUAUGUCUAUAUGGACAUAUUGUGGGAAUUUGGGAGGUGGAUCCUAAAAAAACUGAGUAGUUAAGUAGAUAAAGGGGGAAUGUGAAGUAUGAAGGGGGAAAAGAAGACAAGAAUGAUGCCCAGAUCUCCUGCAUAGGCCAUUGGUAGGAUGAUGGGCUGCUUUCUGUAGCAAGGAAAUGGAAAUGGAAAGCAAUCACAGAGAAGAGAUAAGAAGCUCAGUUUUGAACAUGAAAAGUUUGAAGUUCUUUUAAUCCAUCCAGAUGGAGAUGUUCUUGACACAGUUGGAUGUACUAGUAUAGAACUCAGAUGAAAGAUCUGGGUUGGAGUUAUGCAGCUGACAAACCUGACCACAUAAGGUUAAUUGGAGUCAUAAUACCAAAAGCUAAUCCUCAGGAAGGGAAGGCAGCAUGAAAAAGAUCUGACAUAAUACCCAGUUGCACUAACAGAGAUGGCUCAAAGAAGAGAGUACAUAAAAUAUACUAGAUAAGAAGAACUAUGGCAGCUGCUGUUAUGUAACACAAGGAAUUGAAUUUCAAAAAUUACCAAAUUUGGAGAGAACAGCCAA
rnacentral:lncRNA from 1 species